ACAUCUGCCUGGUGUGCCUUGUGUGAUGUGGAUAAUGCAACCAGAAUCUGUCAAUAACAACAAAGAUGAUGUCCUAUUAUCGUAUGCAUAUUCUGAUAUGUGUUGGACACGAAAAGAGAAAACUUACCUUCUGGUAAGGAUGGGGAGGCUCGAUAUUGAUGAUAUCCUGAUCCAGCUGCGUUUUAUAUUUCGAUAGAUAGGCUUGUUUAAUGAGCGCAAUAUGACUUGAUUUUCUUCCCACAAAGAUUUCCACCAGAGCCUGAUGAUUAGUAUCAUUAUCUUGCAGAAGAGCUUCACGAGCAACAAUGGCGUCACGUUCAUGAGGAUGAAGCAUCCAAAGGGACAAAGCUGCGCAAGUUUUGGGGGAAACACCAGGCUGAUUUCGAA
rnacentral:lncRNA from 1 species